rnacentral:tRNA from 1 species
CAUGUGGUGGAAUUGGUAGACGCGUUGGACUCAAAAUCCAAUGAUAGUAAUAUCGUGAGGGUUCAAGUCCCUCCAUGGGC